CCUACGGGAGGCAGCAGUGAGGAAUAUUGGUCAAUGGACGAGAGUCUGAACCCGCCAAGUAGCGUGAAGGAUGACUGCCCUAGGGGUUGUAAACUUCGUUUAUAAAGGAAUAAAACGAGGCACGUGUGCCUUUUUGCAUGUACUUUAUGAAUAAGGAUCGGCUAACUUCGUGCCAGCAGCCGCGGUAAUACGGAGGAUCCGAUCGUUAUCCGGAUUUAUUGGGUUUAAAGGGAUCGUAGGUGGGUUGUUAAGUCAGGUGUGAAAGUUUGCGGCUCAACCGUGAAAUUGCAUUUGAUACUGGCAGUCUUGAGUACAGUUGAGGUAGGCGGAAUGCGUGGUGUAGCGGUGAAAUGCUUAGAUAUCACGAAGAACCCCGAUUGCGAAGGCAGCUUACUAAACUCAGACUGACAUUGAUGCUCGAAAGUGUGGGUAUCAAACAGGAUUAGAUACCCCAGUAGUC
rnacentral:rRNA from 1 species